GUCAUUAGUUGCCAUCAUUCGGUNGGGCACUCUAAUGAGACNGCCGGUGACNAGCCGGAGGAAGGUGGGGAUGACNUCAAGUCCUCAUGGCCCUUAUGACCAGGGCUUCACACGUCAUACAAUGGUCGGUACAGAGGGUAGCCAAGCCGCGAGGUGGAGCCAAUCUCACAAAACCGAUNGUAGUCCGGAUUGCACUCUGCAACUCGAGUGCAUGAAGUCGGAAUCGCUAGUAAUCGCAGGUCAGCAUACUGCGGUGAAUACGUUCCCGGGUCUUGUACACACCGCCCGUCACACCAUGGGAGUGGGGGAUACCAGAAGUGGGUAGGAUAACNGCAAGGGGUCCGCUUACCACNGUAUGNUUCAUGACUGGGGUGANGUCGUAACAAGGUNGC
rnacentral:rRNA from 1 species